AAUGUCAAGGAGCUCACAUUCAAAUGGAGCAGAAAGGCACUGAACCCAGAAACAAAUAAUUCUCUAGGAUGGUGGCUGGAAGUGCAUUUGCUAAAGAACCUCACUUCUACCGAUCUCAUGUUCCACGCACUUACAAACGGACCAGAGGCUGCAAAAGUGAGUCUCUCCUCGCUUCUACCGAUCUCAUUUUCCACGCACUUACAAACGGACCAGUGGUUGCAAAAAUAGGAAAACCAAGGCACAGCGAGGGAAAAUCCUUUGUCUAAAAAUCACACAGUUGGUUGGAAAUGAAGCCAGGAUUCCAGCCCAGGUCUGUGUGAUUCAGCACCUGGACCCUGGACCACUGAGUUCACAGAGAAGGGACAUUUCUGCAGGGGAGAGCUGUGGUCAAAGAGAGGAAUAAAGCUUAGAAAGAGGAAGUUCGUGGGUUGCAAAGUGAGUAAUGGCUGCAUCUGGGAGCUGAUCAAAGGUGGCCAGCCAAGUUGAGUAGCCGGUUCGGUGUAUGAGACUUAACAACACUGUUUCCCCAGCCAUGGAAGGAGACUUGAGCAGAGUGUGAGAAUGGUCAGGUGGCGGAAGUGUCUGAGAAGAUCCUGCAUCGA
rnacentral:lncRNA from 1 species